CUUUAAUUUGACACAUAAAAAACUAAAUAUUUACGUGACUCAAACGGACAACUACAUUGUGCAAGAAGAUGAGGAAAGUGCCAAAAGUGGCGAAACACAGACGAGACUAGGUCCCAUGCAAGGCGCUCACCACUAGACUAGAAACAAAGACAAGGCAGAUUAAAUGAAAAGACUAAGAGAAUGAAAAGGCAGAGAGAAUGAAAAGACAAAGAGAGAAAUUAUAGAAUGGAAGACCUGGACGAUAUUAUUAUUGAGUCGUGAUAAGUGAGUGUGAGCUAGGUAAGUCAGGAGUGUAGGAAAUAUUAGUGAGGUGGAUGUAAUUCUUUUGCAAGUGUGAUUUGAAGGAGGAGACAAUGACAUAAUAAUACGAAGGAGCAGACUUACAAACAUAGUUCCAC